ensembl:lncRNA
GGGAAAAGAAAGAAUGGGGAGAUGGAGGGAGAGAGGGAUCGCAGAGAACAGAGUAGAGAAAGAAUGGGGAGAUGAAGGGAGAGAGGGAUCGCAGAGAACAGAGGAUAGAGAAAGAAUGGGGAGAUGGAGGGAGAGAGGGAUCGCAGAGAACAGAGUAGAGAAAGAAUGGGGAGAUGGAGGGAGAGAGGGAUCAGAGAGAACAGAGGGUAGAGAAAGAAUGGGGAGAUGGAGGGAGAGAGGGAUCAGAGAGAACAGAGGGUAGAGAAAGAAUGGGGAGAUGGAGGGAGAGAGAGAUCAGAGAGAACAGAGGGUAGAGAAAGUGGUGACAGGCGGUGACACUGCGCGUGUCCUCGUUCCCUGUUUACGAUGGGAUAAUCACACACACACACACACACACACACACACACACACACACACACACACACACACUGUGCUCUGCCCUCUGUGUCCCCCUCACAGCCCACUGUGACAUGCUGCUGCCAAUGCCAUGAUAGUGUGUGUGUAGUGUCUUUCUUUUCUUUUCCUAUAUACCUAUUCCAUAUCUUUCUUCCCCCCCCCCUCUUUGUAAACCCUUUCUUUGCUUACCCUUUACCUCCUCCCUCUCUUCCCUCUCUCGCCCACUACGUCUCUCUUACAGGAAUUGGUAGCAGAUGUGGAGAGAGCUUUUUCCUUCAUCUAAAAUGAUCCCCAAUAAAAGAAUGUCAGGAAAAGAGUGAGGGGAAAGAAGGCUUGAUGGAGAAGCAGAAAGGAAUGGGGAAGGCAUAGGUUGAUGGUCUCGGUGAAGUAAGGGUGUAUUUUUGGGACCUCGCACACCGUGCUGACACAGUCAAGCCGUCGGGGGCACAAACAAAGUUGGUAUAGAGGAACAGCGUCUGAGUAGCAUGUGAUGCUAACCUGUCCUGCUGUUGUUGAAAAGGCCUGGAUUAAGAUUAGGACUAGUUGUAAGUGAAUAAUGAUGAGAAGGAGUAGUCUGACAGCAGGCGGCAGUAGUCUGACAGCAGGCGGCAGUAGUCUGACAGCAGGCGGCAGUAGUCUGACAGCAGGCGGCAGUAGUCUGACAGCAGGCGGCAGUAGUCUGACAGCAGGCAGCAGUAGUCUGACAGCAGGCAGCAGUAGUCUGACAGCAGGCAGCAGUAGUCUGACAGCAGGCAGCAGUAGUCUGGCAGCAGGCAGC